rnacentral:rRNA from 1 species
GUCUCAAAGAUUAAGCCAUGCAUGUCUAAGUAUAAAUCAUUUAUACAGGUGAAACUGCGAAUGGCUCAUUAAAUCAGUUAUAGUUUAUUUGAUAGUACAAUUACUACUUGGAUAACCGUGGUAAUUCUAGAGCUAAUACAUGCUAAAAGUCUCGACUUCUGGAAGGGACGUAUUUAUUAGAUAAGAACCAAUAA